CCCUAAACGAUGUAUGCUUGGUGUUAGGAUACUUGUAUCUUAGUGCCGGAGAAAAUUCGUUAAGCAUACCACCUGGGGAGUACGAUCGCAAGGUUGAAACUCAAAGGAAUUGACGGGGGCCCGCACAAGCGGUGGAUUAUGUGGUUUAAUUCGAUGCAACGCGAAGAACCUUACCCGGGCUCGAAGUGCAGAUGACCGUCCCUGAAAGGGGGCUUCUCUUCGGAGCGUCUGUAUAGGUGCUGCAUGGCUGUCGUCAGCUCGUGCCGUGAGGUGUUGGGUUAAGUCCCGCAACGAGCGCAACCCCUAUCCUUAGUUGCCAGCAGUUCGGCUGGGCACUCUAAGGAGACUGCCCACGCAAGUGGUGAGGAAGGUGGGGAUGACGUCAGGUCAUCAUGGCCCUUACGUCCGGGGCUACACACGUAAUACAAUGGCAGGUACAAUGGGCAAUACCGCAAGGUGGAGGAAAUCCCUAAAACCUGUCUCAGUUCGGAUUGGAGUCUGCAACUCGACUCCAUGAAGCUGGAAUCGCUAGUAAUCGUGGAUCAGCACGCCACGGUGAAUACGUUCCCGGGCCUUGUACACACCGCCCGUCAAGCCAUGGAAGCUGGGGGCGCCCAAAGCCGUUAGCAAUAACGUCUAAGGCGAAAUCAGUGACUGGGGCUAAGUCGUAACAAGGUAGCCGUAUCGGAAGGUGCGGAGGAUCACCUCCUU
rnacentral:rRNA from 1 species